AUAAUUGUGUAAUAGAAUUUACACGGAUUCCCAGUCCCACCCAACCGUUUUUUAAUAUGUCCAGUUUAACGUAACUAUCGGAAUUUGAUACGGCAUUAAUCGCUGCGAUGAAGGACGGAAGCAGACUGCUGUCAAUCCUUUUGAAAGUCUCGGAAAAAGCUGCUAAUAUCGCGAGAGCCUGCAGGCAAAACAAUGCCUUAUUCAAAUUGCUCGUACAGGAGAAAUCAGAGGAAGAAAAGAAUCCACGAUUCUUCCAAGAUUUUAAAACUCUGGCAGAUGUUCUUAUACAAG